GUCCUGACAUUCCCGGGGCGGGCGCAGCGGGCCGGGAGGGCGGGGGAAGAGGUGGCGCCCGGCCCAAUCGCCUCUCCCUCCUCCCGCAACCCGUAGGCAGCAGCCCAGGCGCCCAGAAGCGGGACUUCCGGUUUAGGGACCGCCCUGCCCCCUGGGGACGGGGUUGGAGCCUCCCCGCUCGGAGGAAAGCACCUCUGGGUUGUUGUUGUGCAGACAAAAGCCUAGUAAAGCGCACGGGCCUCUGUUUGGUCCCAGCAGAAACGAAAGCCCGGAAGCCCGAGUCUGAAGGCAGAGAGCGCUGAGAAGACACGGAGGCCCUUGAGUGGCGUGGGGAGGAGAAUGGGGUGCAAUUUAGGGCAACUCAGGAUGGAGAGGCGCACUGGGGCUGGGGUGGGCUGACUUCUGUUACAGGAGUGAGCGUGUCCUCUCUCCUGGGACUGGCUGCGCGCGGGAGGUAGGUGCAUCCUGGCUGUGCAUCAGGGACAUUCAGGGCAGCUCCCUACUCUGACCUGGGACUCCAACCUGAGGGAACAGGGGAUCCUUCCUACAGAGGCGCUGGGCUAGGAGUGUCCCUCUCUAGGAGCAGGUCCAUAGUGAUCAGGAAGGUGCCAAGGAAGAUGAUCUAUAGUGAGAAAUGCCCUGGGUCCUACUUUGCUCAAUUCCCUCCGUUUUACUGGCAGCUCUUGUACUGGUUGCAUGGCCUCUUCUGGGAGAAACAUGCUUAAGGCUUUUCUCCAACUGAUUUUUUUUUAAGUCAUCCAUCUGUCCUGACAUGGAAAAGGUUUAGGAAAUAUUAAGUGAGCCCUAACCGGUUUGGCUCAGUGGAUAGAGCAUCAGCCUGCGGUUAAAGGGUCCCAGGUUUGAUUCCAGUCAAAGGCAUGUACCUCGUUUGCAGGCACAUCCCCAGUAGGGAGUGUGUAGGAGGAAGCUGAUCGAUGUUUCUGUCUCAUCGAUGUUUCUAACUCUUGAUCCCUCUCCCUUCCUCUCUGUAAAAAAUCAAUAAAAUAUAUUUUAAAAAAGGAAAUAGUAAGUGAAAGAUAAACUUUUAAAGUUGCAGAAUAGAGUCCAUAAUGUAAUGCCAUCUUUGGGGGAAAAUAAAGUUUAGUUCUCUGCAACUAGACUAAUGUCUGGGAGGAAAAACACUGGUCAACCUUAUGAGAUGUCCAUGGAGAAGAACUCCCAUUCUUUAUUUUAUGUACUUUGAUAUUAUUUCAUCUGCUUAAUAUAUUUUCUUUAAUAUCUUUAAGUAGAUCUCAUCUCUCUAAAAGUCUAUCACAGCUAUGAACCCAUGGGAUUUCUCUAUAGCUGACUCACUGCUCAUCUCUGUGGAAAAACAAGGAAUAUAUAACCACGGCCCUCAAGAAGUGGAGAAGGAGGAGUGUGGAGUGCUUCAGGCAGCCAACAUGAGCAGGAAGCGCUCCGAAGCAGAGAAGGGUAUGAUGGGUUCAAGAAAGUGUGCAGGGGACCUCUUCUUGGAGCACAGGGUGGCUCAGGGUGACCAGGACAAGACAAUCUUAAUGUUCACAAGGAGCAUGGACCAGCUUGAAUGGACCUUGACUCCCAGGCUUAGAAAUUGUAUAUUUAUUUUGAAGGCAGUGUGGCUGAUAAAGAGAGCACCGAAGAUUUUAUGAAU